AUUGAACGCUGGCGGCAUGCCUUACACAUGCAAGUCGAACGGUAACGCGGGGCAACCUGGCGACGAGUGGCGAACGGGUGAGUAAUGCAUCGGAACGUGCCUGGUAGUGGGGGAUAACUGCUCGAAAGAGCAGCUAAUACCGCAUACGACCUGAGGGUGAAAGGGGGGGAUCGCAAGACCUCUCGCUAUCAGAGCGGCCGAUGUCGGAUUAGCUAGUUGGUGGGGUAAAGGCCCACCAAGGCAACGAUCCGUAGCUGGUCUGAGAGGACGACCAGCCACACUGGGACUGGGACACGGCCCAGACUCCGACGGGAGGCAGCAGUGGGGAAUUUUGGACAAUGGACGCAAGUCUGAUCCAGCCAUGCCGCGUGCGGGAAGAAGGCCUUCGGGUUGUAAACCGCUUUUGUCAGGGAAGAAAUCUUCUGGGCUAAUACCCUGGGAGGAUGACGGUACCUGAAGAAUAAGCACCGGCUAACUACGUGCCAGCAGCCGCCGUAA
rnacentral:rRNA from 1 species